UCCUCGUUUAAGCGAGGCAGUCUGUCCAGAGUGCUUCCCGCUCUCGCGGGAUUGGCAACAGGACACAAGGGUUGCGCUCGUUGCGGGACUUAACCCAACAUCUCACGACACGAGCUGACGACAACCAUGCAGCACCUCUGUAGCGGCCUCCGAAGAGGAAGCCCUAUUUCUAGGGCGGUCCACUACAGUUCAAGCCCAGGUAAGGUUCUUCGCGUUGCAUCGAAUUAAACCACAUGCUCCACCGCUUGUGCGGGCCCCCGUCAAUUCCUUUGAGUUUCAGCCUUGCGGCCGUACUCCCCAGGCGGAACACUUAUCGCGUUGGCUGCGGCACCGAGGGAUUCGACUCCCCCAACACCUAGUGUUCAUCGUUUACGGCGUGGACUAC
rnacentral:misc_RNA from 1 species